ACCAGGAUGGCCGAGUGGUUAAGGCGUUGGACUUAAGAUCCAAUGGAUGUACAAUCCUCGAGGGUUCGAACCCCACUCCUGGUA